rnacentral:rRNA from 1 species
GGUUAAGCGACUAAGCGUACACGGUGGAUGCCCAGGCAGUCAGAGGCGAUGAAGGGCGUGCUAAUCUGCGAUAAGCGUCGGUAAGGUGAUAUGAACCGCAACAACCGACGAUACCCGAAUGGGGAAACCCAGUGCAAUCCGUUGCACUAUCAUGUCAUGAAUACAUAGUGGCAUGAGGCGAACCGGGGGAACUGAAACAUCUAAGUACCCCGAGGAAAAGAAAUCAACCGAGAUUCCCCCAGUAGCGGCGAGCGAACGGGGAACAGCCCAGAACCUGAAUCAGUUUGUGCCUUAGUGGAAGCGUCUGGAAAGUCGCGCAGUAAAGGGUGACAGCCCCGUACACAAAAAGGCACUUGCUGUGAGUUCGAUGAGUAGGGCGGGACACGUGACAUCCUGUCUGAAUAUGGGGGGACCAUCCUCCAAGGCUAAAUACUCCUGACUGACCGAUAGUGAACCAGUACCGUGAGGGAAAGGCGAAAAGAACCCCGGCGAGGGGAGUGAAACAGAACCUGAAACCGUGUACGUACAAGCAGUGGGAGCACCUUCGUGGUGUGACUGCGUACCUUUUGUAUAAUGGGUCAGCGACUUAUAUUCUGUAGCAAGGUUAACCGUAUAGGGGAGCCGCAGGGAAACCGAGUCUUAACUGGGCGUUAAGUUGCAGGGUAUAGACCCGAAACCCGGUGAUCUAGCCAUGGGCAGGUUGAAGGUUGGGUAACACUAACUGGAGGACCGAACCGACUAAUGUUGAAAAAUUAGCGGAUGACCUGUGGCUGGGGGUGAAAGGCCAAUCAAACCGGGAGAUAGCUGGUUCUCCCCGAAAGCUAUUUAGGUAGCGCCUCGUGAAUUCAUCUCCGGGGGUAGAGCACUGUUUCGGCUAGGGGCCAUCCCGGCUUACCAACCCGAUGCAAACUGCGAAUACCGGAGAAUGUUAUCACGGGAGACACACGGCGGGUGCUAACGUCCGUCGUGAAGAGGGAAACAACCCAGACCGCCAGCUAAGGUCCCAAAGUCAUGGUUAAGUGGGAAACGAUGUGGGAAGGCACAGACAGCCAGGAUGUUGGCUUAGAAGCAGCCAUCAUUUAAAGAAAGCGUAAUAGCUCACUGGUCGAGUCGGCCUGCGCGGAAGAUGUAACGGGGCUAAACCAUGCACCGAAGCUGCGGCAGCGGACGUAUCACCCAAGCAGAUUCACUGAAGUGGAUAACGAUUGACGGAGCGCAGCGACGUCAAUGCGCCAUCAAAGUCGAGUCGACUUCGGGAUACGUCCGUUGGGUAGGGGAGCGUUCUGUAAGCCGUCGAAGGUGUGCUGUGAGGCAUGCUGGAGGUAUCAGAAGUGCGAAUGCUGACAUAAGUAACGAUAAAGCGGGUGAAAAGCCCGCUCGCCGGAAGACCAAGGGUUCCUGUCCAACGUUAAUCGGGGCAGGGUGAGUCGACCCCUAAGGCGAGGCCGAAAGGCGUAGUCGAUGGGAAACGGGUUAAUAUUCCCGUACUGGGUGUUACUGCGAAGGGGGGACGGAGAAGGCUAUGUUAGCCGGGCGACGGUUGUCCCGGUUUAAGCGUGCAGGCUUGAGUUCCAGGCAAAUCCGGAACUCUUUAAGGCUGAGGCGUGAUGACGAGGCACCACGGUGCUGAAGUAACAAAUGCCCUGCUUCCAGGAAAAGCCUCUAAGCAUCAGGUAACAUCCAAUCGUACCCCAAACCGACACAGGUGGUCAGGUAGAGAAUACCAAGGCGCUUGAGAGAACUCGGGUGAAGGAACUAGGCAAAAUGGUGCCGUAACUUCGGGAGAAGGCACGCUGGCGCGUAGGUGAAGCGACUUGCUCGUGGAGCUGAAGCCAGUCGAAGAUACCAGCUGGCUGCAACUGUUUAUUAAAAACACAGCACUGUGCAAACACGAAAGUGGACGUAUACGGUGUGACGCCUGCCCGGUGCCGGAAGGUUAAUUGAUGGGGUUAUCCGUAAGGAGAAGCUCUUGAUCGAAGCCCCGGUAAACGGCGGCCGUAACUAUAACGGUCCUAAGGUAGCGAAAUUCCUUGUCGGGUAAGUUCCGACCUGCACGAAUGGCGUAAUGAUGGCCAGGCUGUCUCCACCCGAGACUCAGUGAAAUUGAACUCGCUGUGAAGAUGCAGUGUACCCGCGGCAAGACGGAAAGACCCCGUGAACCUUUACUACAGCUUGACACUGAACAUUGAGCCUUGAUGUGUAGGAUAGGUGGGAGGCUUUGAAGCGUGGACGCCAGUCUGCGUGGAGCCAACCUUGAAAUACCACCCUUUAACGUUUGAUGUUCUAACCUGGCGCCGUAAUCCGGCGUGGGGACAGUGUCUGGUGGGUAGUUUGACUGGGGCGGUCUCCUCCCAAAGAGUAACGGAGGAGCACGAAGGUCAGCUAAUCACGGUCGGACAUCGUGAGGUUAGUGCAAUGGCAUAAGCUGGCUUGACUGCGAGAGUGACGGCUCGAGCAGGUGCGAAAGCAGGUCAUAGUGAUCCGGUGGUUCUGAAUGGAAGGGCCAUCGCUCAACGGAUAAAAGGUACUCCGGGGAUAACAGGCUGAUACCGCCCAAGAGUUCAUAUCGACGGCGGUGUUUGGCACCUCGAUGUCGGCUCAUCACAUCCUGGGGCUGAAGUAGGUCCCAAGGGUACGGCUGUUCGCCGUUUAAAGUGGUACGCGAGCUGGGUUUAGAACGUCGUGAGACAGUUCGGUCCCUAUCUGCCGUGGGCGCUGGAAGAUUGAGAGGGGUUGCUCCUAGUACGAGAGGACCGGAGUGAACGCACCGCUGGUGUUCGGGUUGUCAUGCCAAUGGCAUUGCCCGGUAGCUAAGUGCGGAAAAGAUAAGCGCUGAAAGCAUCUAAGCGCGAAACUUGCCUCGAGAUGAAUCUUCCCUGACUCCUUGAGAGUCCUGAAGGGACGUUGAAGACGACGACGUUGAUAGGCCGGGUGUGUAAGCGCAGCGAUGCGUUGAGCUAACCGGUACUAAUGACCCGUGAGGCUUAACCUU